rnacentral:rRNA from 1 species
UCGGAGUGCUUGCACUCUGUGAAACAAGAUACAGGCUAGCGGCGGACGGGUGAGUAACACGUGGGUAACCUGCCCAAGAGAUCGGGAUAACACCUGGAAACAGAUGCUAAUACCGGAUAACAACAGAUGAUGCCUAUCAACUGUUUAAAAGAUGGUUCUGCUAUCACUCUUGGAUGGACCUGCGGUGCAUUAGCUAGUUGGUAGGGUAACGGCCUACCAAGGCGAUGAUGCAUAGCCGAGUUGAGAGACUGAUCGGCCACAUUGGGACUGAGACACGGCCCAAACUCCUACGGGAGGCAGCAGUAGGGAAUCUUCCACAAUGGACGCAAGUCUGAUGGAGCAACGCCGCGUGAGUGAAGAAGGGUUUCGGCUCGUAAAGCUCUGUUGUUGGUGAAGAAGGACAGGGGUAGUAACUGACCUUUGUUUGACGGUAAUCAAUUAGAAAGUCACGGCUAACUACGUGCCAGCAGCCGCGGUAAUACGUAGGUGGCAAGCGUUGUCCGGAUUUAUUGGGCGUAAAGCGAGUGCAGGCGGCUCGAUAAGUCUGAUGUGAAAGCCUUCGGCUCAACCGGAGAAUUGCAUCAGAAACUGUCGAGCUUGAGUACAGAAGAGGAGAGUGGAACUCCAUGUGUAGCGGUGAAAUGCGUAGAUAUAUGGAAGAACACCGGUGGCGAAGGCGGCUCUCUGGUCUGUUACUGACGCUGAGGCUCGAAAGCAUGGGUAGCGA